rnacentral:tRNA from 1 species
GAGGGUGUAGCUCAGCAGCAGGGUGCGUGCUUAGCAUGCAUGAGGUCCCGGGUUCAGUCCCCAGUACCUCCA